AGUAGUGUGGCUUAGUAGGUAGAGCACAGGCCUGGGAGUCAGAGGGCCUGGGUUCUAACCCCAACUCUGCCG
rnacentral:tRNA from 1 species